AACGAACGCUGGCGGCGCGCUUAACACAUGCAAGUCGAACGAGAAGCUGUAGCAAUACAGUUGUACAGUGGCGAACGGGUGAGGAAUACAUGGGUAACCUACCCUCGAGUGGGGAAUAACCAGCCGAAAGGCUGGCUAAUACCGCGUACGCUUCCCAAUCUGCGGGUUGGGAAGGAAAGCUCUACCGUGGGUAGAGCGCUCAAGGACGGGCUCAUGUCCUAUCAGCUUGUUGGAGGGUAACGGCCUACCAAGGCAACGACGGGUAGCUGGUCUGAGAGGACGAUCAGCCACACUGGCACUGCGACACGGGCCAGACUCCUACGGGAGCAGCAGUGAGGAAUAUUGCGCAAUGGGCGACAGCCUGACGCAGCGACGCCGCGGUGGGGGA
rnacentral:rRNA from 1 species